rnacentral:lncRNA from 1 species
CCAGAAACCUGAUAACCGAGUAAAUCACGUUGUCCAGAGUGAUAAAGGGGAGAGAUACGGGGUGGGGGAAGCGGGACAACCAGGGGGACUUACGAGCCAGAUUCUUCUUAUCUGGGGAGGAGAAGAUUCCCACCAGCAUCUUGACUGCGCCUGCCCUUCCCCCACCCGCCCCAAACUGGGGAUGGGAGAGGGGAAAGGGGGUGGGGCCUGAGCCCGAAGCCGACGGCUCUAUCUGUUGGGGGGGAGGGGAAUUGAGGCUACGGCUGCUAAAGACCCCUCUUAACCCGGGUUGCCGGGGUUCUUCCGUCGACUGGACGUCCUUGGGGUGCAGCCCAGGACGUUUAAUCAGAAGGUAGGUGGUAAAAGGGGAGGGAUCAGUGCCCAGAGCACAGAGGGGACCCCUCUAUUAGGUGUUGGGGGGACAGGAGGGGAAUAAACUCAGGUUGCGGCCGCCCGGGCUGAAGAACCCUCCCCCUGCUCGUGUCUCCGGAUCCUCCCACCGCGACGGAGCGUCCCUGGGAGGGCCGCCCGGGCCCGGAGGGGGGAGCCGAGGGCUGGCCAGUGCCAGUCGGCGCCGAGGGCGCGUUCCGUUGCCGCGGCGGGUGGUACAGACUGGCAGACACGCGCUGGCAGCCGCGGGCUGGCAGCCCGUACCCCAAGAGGAGGAGGGGGCAACUGCUGGCGAUUGCCAGCGCUCUGCCUUGGGGGCCGCCCUCUCGCCUGCCCCCAGCCCCGCCUCCCGAACAGGGGCCGCUCUCUCCGCUCCCGGCCGCGCGACUGUCGAGCGCGCACUACCUGGGCGCAGCGGCCCUGGUUUUCUCGUCUGUUCAGUGGGACUUCCGUGACUGUGUCUCAGUUUCUGCGUGGAUGUGUUUGUGUGGAGCAUGAAAAUCUUUGUGUCUGCUUCUUUGCGAGGUACUUCGUCUGAGCCUCAGUUUCCUCGUUUGUAAAUUGGGGUUAAGGGGAGAGCUGCCCAGGGUAUUUUAGCGCGAAGUCACAGUUGGGAGGUAUUAUACUUUAUUGAGGUGUAUGUCCCUCUGCAAGAGUCUAUGAGAGGUGAAUUCCGUCUGCUGCCCUCAGGCUCUAGCCCUGCAAAAUGGGUGGAGUUUUCUCUGCCUUCUCACUGAGGUUUUGCAGCGAAUGAAGGGGGGAGUUCGCAGGGAAAAAACCUCUAUGCAGCGAGGCGCGUAGAUUGUGGGGUUCUGGGUCCCAGAGGGUGGGUGGAGGUUGUGAAAUUGUGGCCUGUGAGACUAGGCAUAAAAUCCUGUCUGUGUGGAGGGGAAUUUGUAUAUAUCUUUCAGUGUCCCCUUGUCAUGUGUGAAUGUACUUCCUUUUUUUAAAAUUUCUUUUUGUGCUUUCUUUUUUAAAAAACUAUUUUUAUUUUUGGCUGUGCUGGGUCUUUGUUGUUGCGUGAGCUUUCCUCUGGUUGCACCCAGUGGGGACCACUCUCUAGUUGCCCAGCUAGGACUUCUUGCGUGGGUUCUUUUGUUGCUCUAGGGCGCUCAGUUUUCAGUAGUUGCGGUGCCUGGGCUCAAUAGUUGUGGCGCACAGGCUCAGUUGCUCUGCGGCCUGUGGGAUCUUCCUGGACCAGGGAUUGAACCCUUGUCUCCUGCACUGGGAGGCGGUGGAUUCUUAUCCACUGGACCACCAGGGAAGACCUGAACCUACCUCCAUGGUUCCCUGAGAGGGUGUAACUCCGAAUUUUGCCCUAGUUUGUGACUAUCUGUGCACAUGUCCUUGUCGAUGUGUCACUGUAUGUGUCCCUUUCUCUGUGUGGCUGUUUCUUUCUGUUUUUGACUAAGAUGCCUCUGAGUAUCCGUGCCUGUGUAUGAAUUAUUAGUGUCCCUUUCAUGUGGGACUCUGUUACCCUGUCCCUUCGUGAUAUGAUUUGUCUCCUUGUGUCGGCCUGUCUCCAUGGACACCCCCUC